GUCGAGCGAACCGUUUGGGGAAACUCGGACGGUUAGCGGCGGACGGGUGAGUAACACGUGGGUAACCCACCUGGGGGACCGGGAUAACGGCUCGAAAGGGCCGCUAAUACCGGAUACGUUCCCUGGGGCAUAAGCCUCGGGGAGGAAAGGUCGCGCAAGCAGCCACUCCCAGACGGGCCCGCGGCCCAUUAGCUAGUUGGCGGGGUAACGGCCCACCAAGGCAAUGAUGGGUAGCCGGUCUGAGAGGAUGACCGGCCACACGGGGACUGAGACACGGCCCCGACUCCUACGGGAGGCAGCAGUGGGGAAUCUUCCGCAAUGGGCGAAAGCCUGACGGAGCGACGCCGCGUGGGGGACGAAGGCCUUCGGGUCGUAAACCCCUGUCAGAGGGAAAGAAGGGUACCGGCGUGAACAGCGCCGGUAUUUGACGGUACCCUCAGAGGAAGCCACGGCCAACUCCGUGCCAGCAGCCGCGGUAAUACGGAGGUGGCAAGCGUUGCUCGGAAUCACUGGGCGUAAAGGGCGCGUAGGCGGGGAGGUAAGUCGGGUGUGAAAUCCCUCGGCCCAACCGAGGAACUGCGCCCGAGACUGCUUCUCUUGAGUCCCGGAGAGGAAGGUGGAAUUCCCGGUGUAGCGGUGAAAUGUGUAGAGAUCGGGAGGAACACCGGUGGCGAAGGCGGCCUUCUGGGCGGUGACUGACGCUGAGGCGCGAAAGCGUGGGGAGCAAGCGGGAUUAGAUACCCCGGUAGUCCACGCUGUAAACGAUGGGUGCUAGGUGUGGGGGGUAUCGACCCCUCCCGUGCCGAAGCUAACGCAUUAAGCACCCCGCCUGGGGAGUACGGUCGU
rnacentral:rRNA from 1 species